rnacentral:lncRNA from 1 species
CAGGCGCCCGCAGCCUGCAAAGCGUCUCCAGUGCCGCCGCCUCAGUGAACCUCAACCAGCGGCACCUAGCAGCUUUCUCUGCCACCCUCUUCAGGCAGGAAGCCCGCCUGACCCCAUGUCUCAGGCUGCCAGAGGAGCGUGCGAUGAGGAAGGCUGGACUGUCUUCACAGGACACCAGGGAGAAGCCUCAAGCCACUGCCCCCUGACAAGUCGCAGCUCUCCAGCCUGUCUCCUCACUCCCCUCCCCUCCACAUGGGGGGGUUGGGGUGGGGGCGGGGAAGGUUCGGGGCAGGGGUCAUUUCAGCUACUGGGCACCAGUCUCCUCCUCAUGUUUAUCCUGUUCCCUUUGCUUGAAAGGUUCGUACUCCAGAUCCUUGUAAAACCGCUUCUCACCCUUUGAGUCUCAGCUUAAAUGUCCCCUCCUUGGAGGGGUCUUCCCUGACAAUGAAGCUCCGACCGUC